rnacentral:tRNA from 2 species
GGCUCCGUAGCUCAGUUGGCUAGAGCAUUCGGUUCAUACCCGGAGUGUCAUUGGUUCGAGUCCAAUCGGAGCCA